rnacentral:rRNA from 1 species
GACGUAGGUGGCGAACGUUAUCCGGAAUUAUUGGGCGUAAAGGGUGCGUAGAUGGUAUAGUAAGUUAUCAGUGGGAAAUCGAGGCUCAACCUCGUGGAAGUUGAUAAUACUGCGAUACUCGAGUGCAGGAGAGGUUAACGGAACUCCAUGUGGAGCGGUAAAAUGUGUAGAUAUAUGGAAGAACACCAAUAACAGCGAAGGCAGUUAACUAUUCUGCUACUUACAUUGAGGCACGAAAAGCGUGGGGGAGCAAAACGG